rnacentral:rRNA from 1 species
AUUGAACGCUGGCGGCGUGCCUAACACAUGCGAGUCGAGCGGCAGCGCGGGGCAACCUGGCGGCGAGCGGCGGACGGGUGAGUAACGCUUGAGAAUCUGCCUAUUAGUGGGGGACAACCCGGGGAAACUCGGGCUAAUACCGCAUACGCACUACGGUGGAAAGCCGGGGACCGCAAGGCCUGGCGCUAAUAGAUGAGCUCAAGUCGGAUUAGCUAGUUGGUAGGGUAACGGCCUACCAAGGCGACAAUCCGUAGCUGGUCUGAGAGGACGACCAGCCACACCGGAACGGAGACACGGUCCGGACUCCUACGGGAGGCAGCAGUGGGGAAUAUUGGACAAUGGGCGAAAGCCUGAUCCAGCGACGCCGCGUGGGUGAAGAAGGCCUGCGGGUUGUAAAGCCCUUUCGGUGGGGAAGAAAUGCUUCGAGCUAAUACCUCGGGGCUUUGACGUAACCCACAGAAGAAGCACCGGCUAACUCUGUGCCAGCCGCCGCCGUAAUAC